GCUGGUGGUCAUAGUGAGGUGGCAAUACCCGUUCCCGUUCCGAACACGGAAGUCAAGCACCUUUACGCCGAUGAUACUCCAAUUCGGGGGAAAGUAGGAAAUCGCCAGCU
rnacentral:rRNA from 1 species